rnacentral:tRNA from 1 species
GGUGGCUCAGUGGGAGAGCACUUGCCUUGCAUGCAUGAGGCCCUGGGUUCCAUUCCUCAGUACCA